CACGUCAGAGUGCUUUGCUGACGUGGCAACAAAUCGUGCUUACGUGGACGCGAUUUGUUGCCACGUUAGCAAAGCGCUCUGACGUGG
rfam:Gossypium hirsutum cultivar TM-1 unplaced genomic scaffold scaffold347.1, whole genome shotgun sequence